rnacentral:rRNA from 1 species
GGAAGCAGCCAUAUCACCCCGCAACUCACUACUGGCAGCCCACUGAAGCUCAACGGGUGUGAGCCUGGCUAGUACCUGGAUGGGAGACCUCCUGGGAAAGCUGAGGCUGCUGCUU